rnacentral:rRNA from 1 species
CAGUAGCCGCGGGAAUACGUAGGGUGCAAGCGUUAAUCGGAAUUACUGGGCGUAAAGCGUGCGCAGGCGGUUCGGAAAGAAAGAUGUGAAAUCCCAGAGCUUAACUUUGGAACUGCAUUUUUAACUACCGGGCUAGAGUGUGUCAGAGGGGGGUGGAAUUCCACGUGUAGCAGUGAAAUGCGUAGAUAUGUGGAGGAACACCGAUGGCGAAGGCAAUCCCCUGGGCCUGCACUGACGCUCAUGCACGAAAGCGUGGGGAGCAAACAGGAUUAGAUACCCGUGUAGUCCCUGUCUCUUAUAC